AUACGGAGGGGGCUAGCGUUGUUCGGAAUUACUGGGCGUAAAGCGUACGUAGGCGGACUGAUCAGUUGGGGGUGAAAUCCCAGGGCUUAACCCUGGAACUGCCUUCAAUACUGUCAGUCUUGAGAUUGAAAGAGGUGAGUGGAAUUCCUAGUGUAGAGGUGAAAUUCAUAGAUAUUAGGAGGAACACCAGUGGCGAAGGCGGCUCACUGGUCCAAUACUGACGCUGAGGUACGAAAGCGUGGGGAGCAAACAGAAUUAGAAACCCUAGUAGUCC
rnacentral:rRNA from 1 species